rnacentral:rRNA from 1 species
UAAGGAAUAUUGGUCAAUGGGCGCAAGCCUGAACCAGCCAUGCCGCGUGCAGGAAGACGGCCCUAUGGGUUGUAAACUGCUUUUGUCAGGGAAUAAACCCCCGCUCGUGAGCGGGGCUGAAGGUACCUGAAGAAUAAGCAUCGGCUAACUCCGUGCCAGCAGCCGCGGUAAUACGGAGGAUGCAAGCGUUAUCCGGAUUCGUUGGGUUUAAAGGGUGCGCAGGCGGAUUGGUAAGUCAGGGGUGAAAUCCCACAGCUCAACUGUGG